rnacentral:rRNA from 1 species
GACGAACGCUGGCGGCGUGCUUAACACAUGCAAGUCGAACGGAAAGGCCCUGCUUUUGUGGGGUGCUCGAGUGGCGAACGGGUGAGUAACACGUGAGUAACCUGCCCUUGACUUUGGGAUAACUUCAGGAAACUGGGGCUAAUACCGGAUAGGAGCUCCUGCUGCAUGGUGGGGGUUGGAAAGUUUCGGCGGUUGGGGAUGGACUCGCGGCUUAUCAGCUUGUUGGUGGGGUAGGGGCUUACCAAGGCUUUGACGGGUAGCCGGCCUGAGAGGGUGACCGGCCACAUUGGGACUGAGAUACGGCCCAGACUCCUACGGGAGGCAGAAGUGGGGAAUAUUGCACAAUGGGCGGAAGCCUGAUGCAGCAACGCCGCGUGCGGGAUGACGGCCUUCGGGUUGUAAACCGCUUUCGCCUGUGACGAAGCGUGAGUGACGGUAAUGGGUAAAGAAGCACCGGCUAACUACGUG